UGUAAGCGUAUACCAAAGUUGUUGCAGUUAAAACGCUCGUAGUCGGAAUUUGGCAGUUCCGGAAGUGUGCACGUCGUGUGCGCACUUUGCGGGGACUGCUUUUGUGGUCUUGCGUAGGAUGAGGCACUUUCAUUAGUGAACGUCCUCACGCAACCACUCCUUACUGUGAGAAAAUCAGGGUGCUCAAAGCAGGCAUUUGCCGUGAAUGUAUUAGCAUGGAAUAAUAGAAUAGGACUCGGUUCUAUUUUGUUGGUUUGUUGGGACUGAGUAAUGAUUAAGAGGGACAGUUGGGGGCAUUUGUAUUCCGGCGCUAGAGGUGAAAUUCUUAGAUUGCCGGAAGACAAACUGCUGCGAAAGCGUCUGCCAAGGAUGUUUUCAUUGA
rnacentral:rRNA from 1 species